AUCGACGCUACACUAGAGAACGAUAGGAACUCACACUGGACCUCUUUGGUGUCACAGGCAUCAGCAUAUCCGGCGGAAUAGAAUCCAAGGUCCAGCCGGUUGUGAAGGUGGAGAAGAUUUUCCCGGGAGGAGCCGCCUCCACCUGCGAUGUGCUCAAGGCCGGAUUCGAGGUAGUGAGCGUGGAUGGCGCGUCGCUGCAAGGCGUCACGCACCAGCACGCCGUCGACCUCAUCCGAAAAGCCUUCAGCGACAAGGCCAAAGACCCCAUGCUGCUGGUGGUCAAAGUGCCCUGCAAGCCUCCAAACACAUCAUUAGCACAGCCUAGCGGUCAAUGAUGGCCAAACACAUCCCAAUUUAGAAACAAAACCGCAAUUGAACGAUUCAGUGUGACCUUUAAUAAAAACACAAUGUACAGCAAGGUGAAAAUAUACAUUUGUACUUCUUAACGUGCUGUGGAAGCCCGACAAACAU